UACGUAGGGGGCGAGCGUUGUCCGGAAUCAUUGGGCGUAAAGAGCGUGUAGGCGGCCUGAUAAGUCGGUUGUGAAAGUCAAGGGCUCAACCCUUGAAUGCCGGCCGAUACUGUCAGGCUAGAGUCCGGAAGAGGCGAGUGGAAUUCCUGGUGUAGCGGUGAAAUGCGCAGAUAUCAGGAGGAACACCGAUGGCGAAGGCAGCUCGCUGGGACGGUACUGACGCUGAGGUGCGAAAGCGUGGGGAGCAAACAGG
rnacentral:rRNA from 1 species